rnacentral:rRNA from 1 species
UACAGAGGUCCCAAGCGUUGUUCGGAUUCACUGGGCGUAAAGGGCGCGUAGGCGGGGAGGUAAGUCGGGUGUGAAAUCCCUCGGCCCAACUGAGGAACUGCGCCCGAGACUGCUUCUCUUGAGUCCCGGAGAGGAAGAUGGAAUUCCCGGUGUAGCGGUGAAAUGUGUAGAGAUCGGGAGGAACACCGGUGGCGAAGGCGGUCUUCUGGACGGUGACUGACGCUGAGGCGCGAAAGCGUGGGGAGCAAACGGG